UCGGGGAGAAAGUAGCAGAGGAGGUGAAGGUGUUAUCAUGGAGAAUUUUGAAAAACCGAUCUAAAGGAUCCAAUUUUCCCCUUGUUCAGUGGAUUAGCUAGGAAGCACAUAGGGUGAGGAAUUGGCUGGUGGUGAUAGCCAUAGCAGAGGUGAUCUUGCAGCUGCAGCUGGUCUGGACUCUGGAGUGUUGAUAACAGAGUCAGUGUGUCUCAGUUAAGAGUUAAGGAUAUUGCAUAUCAGUUUAGUCUCAUUUUGGUGAACUCGGCGGCACUGUAUUUAGAUAUAGCAGAAGGUUUCAGGUCUGCUGCGCUGUGCUUAGUUGCUGGAUCGGUGUGCACUUUACUUUGGUUUGCGGCAGAAUUUUUGUAUAAUUAGUUUUGGAUCCUGUAUAUUGUUUAUGCUGUUUUGUGUCUUUUAUCUGUGCAGGAUUCUAUCGGCUAGGUGUUGGUGUUGCAUUUGAAUUAUUGAGCCUAUAUUGCAGGAUAAAUUCGACAGAAGAGGAGCUGUUUGUGAGCAAACGUCCUGUCUUAAUUUUCCGUCUUGGUUGCAUCUCAUAAGGUCAUUGCCCGGUUGUCUUGGGUCGGAAGUGAUUCUGCUCCUGAAGUCCAAGCGUUAUUAAGUGGCAUGACGCGAGAUCCCAAGACGUGAUAUUGUAU
rnacentral:lncRNA from 1 species